UACGGGGGGGAGCAAGCGUUGUUCGGAUUUACUGGGCGUAAAGGGCGCGUAGGCGGUCGUGACAAGUCACUUGUGAAAUCUCCGGGCUUAACUCGGAACGGUCAAGUGAUACUGUCGGACUAGAGUACAGAAGGGGCAACUGGAAUUCUCGGUGUAGCGGUGAAAUGCGUAGAGAUGUGGAGGAACACCGAUGGCGAAGGCAGCCCCCCUGGGUCAAGAUUGACGCUCAUGCACGAAAGCGUGGGGAGCAAACAGG
rnacentral:rRNA from 1 species